GAGAGGAGGAGCGACUUCUACAAGAGAAGUGCAUCUUUGGCCCCAACUUUCAUCUGAACAGUAAUCCAAUUAAAAAUGAAAGCUGUCCACUUUUACAAUUUCAUCACUGAGCAAAAACAAAACACUGGAUGUCUAAAGCUGUCACUAACUUUAUUGGUCUGCUCCUCGGCUUCUAGUUAAAGCUUUGAAAGAGAAGACACAUCGUAAACUGAAGUGAAGUCCAGGUGAUCAACUACCUCAACCCAAUAGCCAUCCAUCCAUCCAUCCAUCCAUCCAUCCAUCCAUCCAUCCAUCCAUCCAUCCAUCCAUCCAUCCAUCCAUCCAUCCAUC